rnacentral:lncRNA from 1 species
GAGAGAGAGAGAGAGAGAGAGAGAGAGAGAGAGAGAGAGAGAGGAGAGAUCCAAGUAGGGACAUUGCCUAGGAGGGUUAGUUUUAGUUCCUGUCUCUAAAAUCAGGGUAGUCACCUCAAUAGGGAAAGUGAAUUGGCUAUGAAAUGAAAAGGGAAAAAUAAUUUCCACCAAAUCAGUAAGAAAGCAAGAGGAAGGAGUUGUUCACUUAAUUCUGACAACCGAGAGGCCCUGAGUCCUGGCCCUGUUGUCUCUGCUACCUCCCAAAGGCCGGUUACAAUGCUGCCUUCGAGUGGAUUAUCAGAUACAGGUGGUGUCAGUUUGGUGCGAUCAAAGGCUUCAACAUGGAGAGAAAUGGAGAGAAGAAGUGCUCAGGAGAUGCUCCCAAAGUGGUUUGCUCUGAAAGUUGCUUGGAGGUGGUGAUACUUGGUCAUUGGCAGGGGAAGGGAAAAAGCAUUUUCUGAGGGCUGAAGUUCAGAGGCCAAGCAGUGUCUGCUGGGGAGGGAUUUAUCCAGGCUGAUUCAGCUGCGUUUGUGCAGAGAAGUUCCCGGAGUGGGUAAAGCAUGUUGGGGCACUCAGCGACAUUAUCCUCUGGGCCGUGGGAUACCACUGGGGCCAGAGAGCUGGGCAGCUGAUAGCCUGUAUCACUGAUUAUCUGGCUCAUUUGGGGAAUCUGAGGACGGUGACUCCAUCAGCGAAUGAUGAAGGAGACAAGUUCUGGCCACAAGGGCCCGGGCAAUGUUUCUGGGAGCCCUUUGCAUUCCAUUAUAUUUCCUGUCACAAUCACCCUCGUCUCUGCCCUAGAAUGAGACUCAAAUUCUUUAAGUCCAGCUGCUUUGGACUCAACAAACUUCCCAUUGGGAAACAAUGCUUUUGAUUUUCAGUUUGACCACUAACCUUGAGCUAGGUAAUUUAUCUUGCUGAGCCUUGGAUUUCCCCCUGAACAUGGAAAUGAUAAUACCUCCUUUGCAAGUGUUAGGAUAAAUGCAAGAGUCCUGUGGAAUGUAAGGCACACAUUAGGUGCUCAACAAAUACCAGAUCCUUCUUAUUUGGUCCUUUCAAACCAGGACUAGUUUUUUUUUACUUUAAUGGGUUCAGCAUAUCACUCAAAAUACUUCACUUAAAAACAAUCAAAGCUUACAUAAUCACCAGCCUAAGUGGUUGCAUUAGCCUGUUAUUCUGUCAUCUUUUUCCAAUAAACAAACUGUCUUCCUCUCUCUUUCCUUUCUGUGGACGGAUCUGGAG